rnacentral:lncRNA from 1 species
UUGAAACUGUUUGUGAUUGAGAAUGGAAAGUGUUUGAAUGAUAAUAUAAAUGAGUUGAGCUAUUCUUUUUGAAUAUUUUGGUUGAAUUACUUAAGUGAGAUGCUUUGAUGAGAAGUGGUUGUGUGAUUUCAGAUGAUGAUUGAUUUAAAGAGCAUAUAUUUGGAAUUAAUUAUGUGUUUUAAGUAAAGUUUGAGAUAUAUUUGGAUUGUUUAGAAAGUUUAUAUAUGAAGUGAUUGAGUGGUGCAUUGAUAUGUUAAAUGAUGUAUGUAAUGAGGUUAAAGUGUGAUC